rnacentral:tRNA from 1 species
GGUAGAAUGGUGGAGUGGUCAAACACGAUAGGUUAAGGACCUAUUGCAUUAGUUGCUUCGCAGGUUCAAAUCCUGCUUCUACCA